rnacentral:rRNA from 1 species
UACGUAGGGUGCGAGCGUUAAUCGGAAUUACUGGGCGUAAAGCGUGCGCAGGCGGUUUUGUAAGCCAGAUGUGAAAUCCCCGGGCUUAACCUGGGAAUGGCAUUUGGGACUGCAAGGCUUGAGUGCGGCAGAGGAGACUGGAAUUCCUGGUGUAGCAGUGAAAUGCGUAGAUAUCAGGAGGAACACCGAUGGCGAAGGCAGGUCUCUGGGCCAUUACUGACACUGAGAAGCGAAAGCAUGGGGAGCGAACAGG